GGCGGUUCUCAGGUGGUGCAUCCCGUUAUUGGGCUCCCUCCUCUCUGGUUCUGGGUGCGUUACCUGAGAACCGCC
rfam:Myotis lucifugus cont2.42580, whole genome shotgun sequence.